GACGAACGCUGGCGGCGUGCUUAACACAUGCAAGUCGAACGGUAAGGCCCUUCGGGGUACACGAGUGGCGAACGGGUGAGUAACACGUGGGUGAUCUGCCCUGCACUUCGGGAUAAGCCUGGGAAACUGGGUCUAGUACCGGAUAGGACUCCGGACUGCAUGGUCUGGGGUGGAAAGCUUUUGCGGUGUGGGAUGGGCCCGCGGCCUAUCAGCUUGUUGGUGGGGUGAUGGCCUACCAAGGCGACGACGGGUAGCCGGCCUGAGAGGGUGACCGGCCGCACUGGGACUGAGAUACGGCCCAGACUGCUACGGGGGGCAGCAGUGGGGAAUAUUGCACAAUGGGUGCAAGACUGAUGCAGCGACGCCGCGUGAGGGAUGACGGCCUUCGGGUUGUAAACCUCUUUCAGCAUCGACGAAGCGAAAGUGACGGUAGGUGCAGAAGAAGGACCGGCCAACUACGUGCCAGCCGCCGCAGUAA
rnacentral:rRNA from 1 species